CGUGAAUUUAUAUGCCGUGGAGAUGUAUUAAACGGGUCAGAUAAUGCAGCCAACAUGUUGAAUAGGUCCUCAUUUCCAGUUGCAAUACUUUUUGCUAGAUUCUGGUAUAUUUUACCCCGAGUUGUUUUAGUUCUUUACUUCGCAUUUCCGCAAACGCAACUUGACGCUACCGAUGCACUAUGGUUUUUUUCGCGUUUUUUUGGCAUAAAGUCAAUUUUUUUAUUUUUAUGUAUCUUAAAAUUUUUUUUAUUUUUAAUUUUUAAAUACCAUAGACAAAUAAAAAAAUAUGUAACUUUAACAUAUGGAACAACACUGUUCUGCUGGCCAGCUGUUAAAGUCAGCUGAUUAUGUAGCAGCUGUUUUGUAUGAAAUUGGCGCGAAAAAUUGUGCGACUUUGAUAGUUUGUUGUGGCAAAAGUUUACGAAGAAGUUAAAUGAAUAAAUAUGGAAAACGAUUGUCCAGAUUCGCAAUCCUUGGAAAAUGUUCUGUCGAACUUUUUAGAUUUUUGCAACGCUAAUUGUUCGAGAGGCCCUACUGUGCGGCAUUACCAUCUCAAAGAUCGAGUAAAGCAGGGAGAGAAGUUCCUCGGUCACAACAAUCUUCGAGGAACAGCCAAAAAUUUAUAAACACUAUUGAAUUUUUGUCAAAUACAUACAAAACAUUUUAAAA